UAGGGAAUCUUCCACAAUGGACGCAAGUCUGAUGGAGCAACGCCGCGUGAGUGAAGAAGGUUUUCGGAUCGUAAAGCUCUGUUGUUGGUGAAGAAGGAUAGAGGCAGUAACUGGUCUUUAUUUGACGGUAAUCAACCAGUAAGUCACGGCUAACUACGUGCCAGCAGCCGCGGUAAUACGUAGGUGGCAAGCGUUGUCCGGAUUUAUUGGGCGUAAAGCGAGCGCAGGCGGAAUGAUAAGUCUGAUGUGAAAGCCCACGGCUCAACCGUGGAACUGCAUCGGAAACUGUCAUUCUUGAGUGCAGAAGAGGAGAGUGGAAUUCCAUGUGUAGCGGUGGAAUGCGUAGAUAUAUGGAAGAACACCAGUGGCGAAGGCGGCUCUCUGGUCUGCAACUGACGCUGAGGCUCGAAAGCAUGGGUAGCGAACAGG
rnacentral:rRNA from 1 species